AUGGCUCAAGGAUGGUUAUCUGCAAACGGAGCAGAAGCAGCUCUGAGGUUGCUGCCUCCUAGAAGUACAGCUUCAGCUGCUUGCUGUUGCCACUUAUCUUUUGCCAGAAGCAGCUCAGCGCAUUCAAGGUACUUUUCUUCAUCAGCUUUGGGAAUCAAGUAAGAGAGUGCCUUCCUGCCUCCCUCU
rnacentral:lncRNA from 1 species